GCUCAGGACGAACGCUGGCGGCGUGCCUAACACAUGCAGGUCGAACGGAGAAUUUUAUUUCGGUAGAAUUCUUAGUGGCGAACGGGUGAGUAACGCGUAGGCAACCUGCCCUUUAGACGGGGACAACAUUCCGAAAGGAGUGCUAAUACCGGAUGUGAUCAUCUUACCGCAUGGCAGGAUGAAGAAAGAUGGCCUCUACAAGUAAGCUAUCGCUAAAGGAUGGGCCUGCGUCUGAUUAGCUAGUUGGUAGUGUAACGGACUACCAAGGCGAUGAUCAGUAGCCGGUCUGAGAGGAUGAACGGCCACAUUGGGACUGAGACACGGCCCAAACUCCUACGGGAGGCAGCAGUA
rnacentral:rRNA from 1 species